rnacentral:rRNA from 1 species
CUGGGCUUGACAUGUACGGGACAGCGGGUGGAAACACCUGCCUUCCUUCGGGACUCGUACACAGGUGCUGCAUGGCUGUCGUCAGCUCGUGUCGUGAGAUGUUGGGUUAAGUCCCGCAACGAGCGCAACCCUCGUCCCUAGUUACCAGCGGGUAAAGCCGGGAACUCUAGGGAGACUGCCGGUGUCAAACCGGAGGAAGGUGGGGACGACAGCCAAGUCAUCAUGGCCCUUACGUCCAGGGCUACACACGUGCUACAAUGGCCGGUACAGAGCGUUGCCAACUCGCGAGAGUGCGCUAAUCGCUAAAAGCCGGUCUAAGUUCGGAUUGGAGUCUGCAACUCGACUCCAUGAAGCCGGAAUCGCUAGUAAUCGCGGAUCAGCUACGCCGCGGUGAAUACGUUCCC